CAAUCGAUGGCGACCGGCGCACGGGUGAGUAACACGUAUCCAACCUGCCGAUGACUCGGGGAUAGCCUUUCGAAAGAAAGAUUAAUACCCGAUGGCAUAGUUCUUCCGCAUGGUAGAACUAUUAAAGAAUUUCGGUCAUCGAUGGGGAUGCGUUCCAUUAGGUUGUUGGCGGGGUAACGGCCCACCAAGCCUUCGAUGGAUAGGGGUUCUGAGAGGAAGGUCCCCCACAUUGGAACUGAGACACGGUCCAAACUCCUACGGGAGGCAGCAUG
rnacentral:rRNA from 1 species